rnacentral:rRNA from 1 species
GAUGAACGCUGGCGGCGUGCCUAAUACAUGCAAGUCGAGCGAACAGACGAGGAGCUUGCUCCUCUGACGUUAGCGGCGGACGGGUGAGUAACACGUGGAUAACCUACCUAUAAGACUGGGAUAACUUCGGGAAACCGGAGCUAAUACCGGAUAAUAUAUUGAACCGCAUGGUUCAAUAGUGAAAGACGGUUUUGCUGUCACUUAUAGAUGGAUCCGCGCCGCAUUAGCUAGUUGGUAAGGUAACGGCUUACCAAGGCAACGAUGCGUAGCCGACCUGAGAGGGUGAACGGCCACACGGGAACUGAGACACGGUCCAGACUCCUACGGGAGGCAGCAGUAGGGAAUCUUCCGCAAUGGGCGAAAGCCUGACGGAGCAACGCCGCGUGAGUGAUGAAGGUCUUCGGAUCGUAAAACUCUGUUAUUAGGGAAGAACAAAUGUGUAAGUAACUAUGCACGUCUUGACGGUACCUAAUCAGAAAGCCACGGCUAACUACGUG